GAUGAACGCUAGCUACAGGCUUAACACAUGCAAGUCGCGGGGCAGCAUGGGGGUUGCUUGCAAUCCCCGAUGGCGACCGGCGCACGGGUGAGUAACGCGUAUCCAACCUGCCCUUCACCACGGGAUAACCCGGCGAAAGUCGGACUAAUACCGUAUGUUGUCCAUUGACGGCAUCCGAUUUGGACGAAAGGUUUGGCGGUGAAGGAUGGGGAUGCGUCCGAUUAGCUGGACGGCGGGGUGACGGCCCACCGUGGCGACGAUCGGUAGGGGUUCUGAGAGGAAGGUCCCCCACACUGGAACUGAGACACGGUCCAGACUCCUACGGGAGGCAGCAGUGAGUAAUAUUGGUCAAUGAGCGUAAGCCUGAACCAGCCAAGUAGCGUGCAGGAUGACGGCCCUAUGGGUUGUAAACUGCUUUUAUGCGGGGAUAAAGUGGCCCACGUGUGGGUUUUUGCAGGUACCGCAUGAAUAAGGACCGGCUAAUUCCGUG
rnacentral:rRNA from 1 species